rnacentral:rRNA from 1 species
UGGGGAAUUUUGCGCAAUGGGCGAAAGCCUGACGCAGCGACGCCGCGUGUGCGAUGAAGGCCUUUGGGUCGUAAAGCACUGUCGAGCGGGACGAAAACUCACGUGAUAAUACCGCGUGAGCUUGACGGUACCGCUAAAGGAAGCACCGGCUAACUCUGUGCCAGCAGCCGCGGUAAUACAGAGGGUGCAAACGUUGCUCGGAAUUAUUGGGCGUAAAGCGCGUGUAGGCGGCUUGUUAAGUCGGUUGUGAAAACCCAUGGCUCAACCAUGGAAGUGCGUCCGAAACUGGCAAGCUUGAGUCCUGACGAGGAUGGCGGAAUUCCCAGUGUAGAGGUGAAAUUCGUAGAUAUUGGGAGGAACACCGGUGGCGAAGGCGGCCAUCUGGGAAGAUACUGACGCUGAGACGCGAAAGCGUGGGGAGCAAACAGGAUUAGAUACCCCCGUAGUCC